UCAAGAGCACGAUCAUAAUUU
rnacentral:piRNA from 1 species